AUAUAUAAUAUAAAAGAGGGGCGGAUGUAGCCAAGUGGAUCAAGGCGUGGAUUUGUGAAUCCACCAUGCGCG
rnacentral:tRNA from 1 species